CCAUUGCUGGCUGUAACCCCGGGAACUGGGGCUAAUCCCAGAUAGAUGAAGACCCCUGGAACGGGUCCUCGUCCAAAAGGCACCAUGGUUAUGCUCUGUGGUGUCGCUCAAGGAUGGGGCCGCGUCCGAUCAGGCUGUUGGUGAGGCAAUGGCUCACCAAACCUAUAACCGGUACGGGCCGUGGGAGCGGGAGCCCGGAGAUGGGAACUGAGACAAGGUCCCAGGCCCUACGGGGCGCAGCAGUUACGAAAACUUGUCAAUGCACGAAAGUGUGAACGGGCUACCCCGAGUGCCGUCCGCUGAGGAUGGCUUUUCUCUGCUGUAAGAAGGCGGAGGAAUAAGGCGAGGGCAAGUCUGGUGUCAGCCGCCGCGGUAAUACCAGCUCGCCGAGUGGUAGGGAUGAUUAUUGGGCCUAAAGCGUCCGUAGCCGGCCUUUCAAGUCUCUUGUUAAAUCCAACGAUUCAAUCGCUGGACUGCAGGAGAUACUGUCAGGCUGGGGGGCGGGAGAAGCCGACGGUAUUUUCGGGGUAGGGGUAAAAUCCUAUAAUCCCGGGAAGACCACCAGUGGCGUAGGCGGUCGGCUAGCACGCGCUCGACGGUGAGGGACGAAAGCUGGGGGAGCGAACCGGAUUAGAUACCCGGGUAGUCUCAGCUGUAAACGAUGCUGGCUAGGUGUUGAAGCGGCUACGAGCCGCUUCAGUGCCGCAGGGAAGCCAUUAAGCCAGCCGCCUGGGGAGUACGGCCGCAAGGCUGAAACUUAAAGGAAUUGGCGGGGGAGCAC
rnacentral:rRNA from 1 species